rnacentral:rRNA from 1 species
CAAGGAAUUUUCGUCAAUGGGCGCAAGCCUGAACGAGCAACGCCGCGUGGAGGAUGACGGCCUUCGGGUUGUAAACUCCUUUUGGGGGGGACGAUAAUGACGGUACCCUCCGAAUCAGCCCCGGCUAACUCUGUGCCAGCAGCCGCGGUAAGACAGAGGGGGCAAGCGUUGUCCGGAAUUACUGGGCGUACAGCGCACGCAGGCGGUUGGGCAAGUGUGGUGUGAAAGCCCCGCGCUUAACGCGGGGAGGCCAGCACAGACUGCCCGACUUGAGGGAUGCAGAGGGUGGUAGAAUUGCCGGUGUAGUGGUGAAAUGCGUAGAGAUCGGCAGGAAUACCGAAGCCGAAGGGAGCCACCUGGGCAUUACCUGACGCUCAUGUGCGACAGCGUGGGGAGCCAA